rnacentral:rRNA from 1 species
UGGGGAAUAUUGGACAAUGGGCGAAAGCCUGAUCCAGCCAUGCCGCAUGAGUGAAGAAGGCCUUUGGGUUGUAAAGCUCUUUUAGUGAGGAAGAUAAUGACGGUACUCACAGAAGAAGUCCUGGCUAACUCCGUGCCAGCAGCCGCGGUAAUACGGAGAGGGCUAGCGUUAUUCGGAAUUAUUGGGCGUAAAGGGCGCGUAGGCUGGUUAAUAAGUUAGAAGUGAAAUCCCGAGGCUUAACCUUGGAAUUGCUUUUAAAACUAUUAAUCUAGAGAUUGAAAGAGGAUAGAGGAAUUCCUGAUGUAGAGGUAAAAUUCGUAAAUAUUAGGAGGAACACCGGUGGCGAAGGCGUCUAUCUGGUUCAAAUCUGACGCUGAAGCGCGAAGGCGUGGGGAGCAAACA